rnacentral:rRNA from 1 species
GACGAACGCUGGCGGCGUGCUUAACACAUGCAAGUCGAACGGAAAGGCCCUGCUUUUGUGGGGUGCUCGAGUGGCGAGCGGGUGAGUAACACGUGAGUAACCUGCCCUUGACUUUGGGAUAACUUCAGGAAACUGGGGCUAAUACCGGAUAGGAGCUCCUGCUGCAUGGUGGGGGUUGGAAAGUUUCGGCGGUUGGGGAUGGACUCGCGGCUUAUCAGCUUGUUGGUGGGGUAGUGGCUUACCAAGGCUUUGACGGGUAGCCGGCCUGAGAGGGUGACCGGCGACAUUGGGACUGAGAUACGGCCCAGACUCCUACGGGAGGCAGCAGUGGGGAAUAUUGCACAAUGGGCGGAAGCCUGAUGCAGCAACGCCGCGUGCGGGAUGACGGCCUUCGGGUUGUAAACCGCUUUCGCCUGUGACGAAGCGUGAGUGACGGUAAUGGGUAAAGAAGCACCGGCUAACUACGUG